UGACACAUAGUAUAAUGGUAAUACAUAUUACUACGGAUAAUAAUAUAAGGGUUCGAUUCCCUUUGUGUCUUA
rnacentral:tRNA from 2 species